GGGAACCGGAAGUGCUAAGAUGUUAACUCAUUUUCAGGUUUUCGGACUCCUUCCUGUAGCACUCUGUUCUUGGUGUACUGAAUGUGUGUUCCACAUCUGUCUUUGUAGUUUGACCUCAGAGAGAAGUUGGCUUUGCUGGACGGGAAGAUUGAGAAGACUGAGACUGUAAUGUUUCAAAUGAAUGACACGCAGUGACGCAGAGCAAACUCAAGCAACCAAAAGGAAGACAGCAUUGGCAGCUGUGUUUCAGCAGAUGCGGGAUAUGUUGGCCCAAGAAGAACGCAAGGCCCGACAUGAGGUGGACCUCAAGCUGGAGAUUGGCCAGACGAAACUUCAGGACACACUCAUGAAGAGUGUGUUUAAUAUUUCACCAGAGCUGCAAUUUUGUUGAUUAGUAGAUAAAUGAAAAAUGAAUCUGCAACUAUUUUGAUAAAUGAUCAAUCAUUUUAGGAUUUUUUUUUUAAAGCAAAACUGCAGAACAUUUGCUGGUUCCAGCUUCUUAAAUGUGAGAAUUGUAUGCUUUUCUUUGUGAUGUAUGAUAGUGAAUUAAAUAUCUGGGUCGUUUGAAUUAAA